UUUGACUCUUUGUCUUAUUUGAAAUUUUUUUGUGAUUAAUAUUUUUAUUCUUACUAGAUGAUAAAAUAUAAAUAGUACUUUAUGCGUGACUAAUUUUUUUUAACUUUUAUAUAAUAUUUUCAAAUAAGACGAAUGGUUGGA
rnacentral:pre_miRNA from 1 species